AUAUAUAUAUAUAUAUAUAUAUAUAUAUUUAUAUAUACAAACAAACAACUAGUUUAUUAGGGUUGCAGUCAGAAGGUUGGCCAGGAUGUUAAAGAAACACUCUUUUGACUUUUUGUCUAGCUUUCGGAAUGGUUUUAUUCCUUUUUCAAGACUCUGUAAUAUGGAUAAAAAGAAAUAUGUAAAUUUUUCUAUAAAAUAUCACAAUUCGUCAGUACAACUUACUAGUCGUUGAGAUUAUUCAAAAGCUUUAUGACCCUCAACAAUACUAACACAAACAUAGAAUACAGAAAAUAAUGGACAAAAUACAUUCUAAAAUUUGAUAAGGAUGGUAAAUUUUAUAUUUAUUCUAUGACAUCUUUUGAUGGUGUGUUUUAACUCUGAUACAUAGAGAACAGAAAGAAAAAACAAUCAGAUUAAAAUGUAAUUAGGUGUUCUUAAUAUUGUAUUUAUUUUCAAAAAACCCAAGAGGACCAUACUGGGUAAUUUUUAUUUUUAAAUCUGUCUUAAUGGUAUGCAACCUGUUAUGCACACAGAUGUAUUGUGUAGUGCAUAUGUAUAAUAAAUAUUUAUUUUAUCAAAAAUAAAAUAAAUAUUUCUAUAUAAACAAACAACUAGUUUAUUAGGGUUGCAGUCAAUAAAAAUUUUUCCCAGCCAGAAAUAGUGGAUGUGUGAGUUAUUCGUAAGGGGAUUUUUCCACAUUCUCUAUUUCAUUUGUUUGAUUUCGUACGAGUGGUCGUUAAACCAGUACCAGUGGAUCUUUUGAUCACUGAGUGUGUUUCAAAGAUCUACAUCUUUUGUUUUUUCAUAUAUAUAUAUAUAUAUAUAUAUAUAUAUAUAUAUAUAUAUAUAUAUAUAUAUAUAUAUUAUAUAUAUAUAUAUAGACUGACUAUUUUUUUAAAUGAGAAUUGGGGUCUAGUGCUAGAUUAUUUGAAAGGUUAUUCAAUUCCCUAUUCAGUAAUAUAAACAUUAACGUACCAAUACAGAAGUAAAAACUUCGAGAUGCAUUCUGGUAUAAAAUCGUUUAUUUAAAACUAUAAAAUAUCAUGGAUUGCAAAACGUUUUCGUUCUAUACAGAACAUCUUCAGUGCCUAGAAUGAAGUAUUUCCACGUUAGUUUAAAGCAAAAGGUUCAAAUUGUGACUGUUAAAAUGAAAAAUGUGGGAAUACUUACAUCCUUCCGAGUAGUUUGAAACUAGCACACUGUAAAUAGUGUUAACCUCAUCGUAUAUGGUUUACAUAAUAUAAUAUAUUAAAAUUUUAUGACUACAAGUCGAUGUUGAUUGAUAAAGUGGAACACAUGCUAAAAGGGUGCCAUGGUUCCCUGCUCGAAGAUGCUAGGUACUUGCCAAUUCAAUGGGCACAGACCAACUGAGAAAUUAGGAAGUGGAUAUACAAUUUGACAAGAGUGACAUGACAUGACAAGAUAAAGCCAAUUUUGGUUAAAGUUUCAUUUGAUUUUGGAUUUUUCAAUAAAAUGCAAAGGUUUGUCUGCAAAAAUAAUUUAAAUUAUUUGAAUAAUAAAAUCUACUGUAAAGUUUAAAUUAGCAACUCUCUAUUCCAGAAUAACUUAUAGAUUCAUUAAAUUUAAUGCAGAUAUAUUUCAUGGUUUAAGUUGUGACGUCAUCGAAUGUGAAAUGACGAGAUGAAAGUUGAGUUUUGUUGAAACAAGGAAAUACACUACAUAAUAAAAGAUAAUUAGACUUGCGUGGAGAAACAAAGCUAAACAAACCAAAAAACCAGAAUUUAAAAGUAUUUUUAUGUGAUGUACUGUUGGUUGCCUAACAAGGCAAGCAGGCAACAGGUUGAAGGUAAACGGUAGAAUAUUGCGAGAAAACAGUAUAAUUACCAUGAUUAAUUAUAUAGGGUGUCCAAAAAUUGUUUUUAAAUAAAUUAAUUGUUUAAUUAAUAAUUCAAAUUUUUUUGGACACCCUGUAUAAAUAAUGAUAUUGAUUUUUAUAGUACUGUAUACAGAAUUGAAUAAGCUUUCAAAUGAGCUAGCACACGACCCCUAUUCUCAUUUAAAAAAAUAGUCGAUUACGUCAUCUGCUUUGAUGCUUUUAUACCAUUUAUAUUAGUUAUUUUUUGCACACUAUCUCUUGUGUCUUUUGCAUAUAGAGUAUAUUGGAGUUGUAUUUCUAGUAUAGGUUUUGUAAUAAGAUUUGUUUGUUGGUGGGUAAGUCUUCACUGUCAACAGAGAUAAUAUUUCUGGUUGAUAACAAUUUAACGACAUGAAGUUUGACGAAGUUCCUUUGAAGUGGCUUCCUCCUAUCCCCCAGUUGAUUGGUAGUUACUGCGCGGAAGCUAAGAUUAACGGGUACCUUUCCAUGCUAAUUAGAUAAGAUUUGAAAAUAUCUUCUCUUUUGAACACAUUUUAUUUGUUUAAUUUAUUCUAUAAUAUUAUGUUUACUGCUGCUCUGGUACAUACUCCUAAUCUUACGCUUAUAAGAAUGUAAUAAAAAAUUAAAUAACUAAAAAAACUAAAAAGUAAUAAAAAACAAAACGUUUUACUAUGCAAUUAAUAAAACUAAUAAUUUUAAUUAUAAUUAAAUCAAAUAAUUUAAAAAUAGUUUAUGGUUGCAAAUGUUCUGUAAAAUAUCAAUAAAAUCAUUUAAUGACUUUACCUGAUGACAAAAUUGUGUGUUUUACCGUUACAAAUUGAGUGCUUAGAAGGACUCUCAAAAUUUGCCGUUUUCUUCGUAAAGCAUUGGUUCUGAACUUGUGUAUGCCUCGUGUUACUAAUUAUGAAUUAAUAUUAAGUUUACUAGGUAUGUCUCAGAGCACUAGCACAACCACCACAACGGUUUCGUUGUUAUUGUCAUCAACGUGGCCACUCCCGUAUCAGAUGCCAACUAGUGGGAAGUAUAAAGUAUGGCACUUAAACACAUAACAAAAUCUUAAAUUUACUUAAAAAAUAAAACGCAAUCUAUGUUCAGUUUGCACUUACGUAGAUAAAAGGAAGGGAGGAAGGAAGGAAAGGAAUAAAGGAAGGCCCAGAACGAGAUGGCUGGAUGACGUGCAAGACGACCUGAAAAACAUGAACAUAUAUAUGACAAGAACAUAUGGAGAAGGGCACAAGAGAGAUCUGAAUGGAAGGGAUUAACCAGACAGACAAAAACCCAUCCAGGGUUAUGAUGAAAAAAGAAGAAGAAGAAGAACAAGAUGUGGUCAGAAUAGGACGAAUGAGGGACACUUCAUUACCUACUUUCCAACGAAACGCCCUUUGUCUUAUAAGCGCGAGUUUUAAUUUAAUGUUAAAAUUUGUCGUGGUAUGCUUGAUGAUGAUCAUUAUCAUGAUAAUGUUAGUUGUCCAUAGCCCUAACAUGCUUUUUUAAUAGUUAAGAAUUAUGUACCUACAUAGCGUCACUAUAAUUGGGUUUUUUGCAUUUAUGAACUAAAAUAAAAUAUUUGUUUAUA